rnacentral:tRNA from 1 species
ACCUGGGUGGCUCAGUCGGUUAAGCGGUAGACUUUGGCUCAGGUCAUGAUCUCCUGUUCCGUGGGUUCGAGCCCCGCCUCAGGCU